rnacentral:tRNA from 1 species
GGGCGAUUAGCUCAGUUGGUUAGAGCGCCACCUUUACACGGUGGAUGUCGGGGGUUCGAAUCCCUCAUCGCCCACCG